UGUGAGUACCCUGGUACUGAACCAACAACACAUUCAGUACCCCAUGUCUUUACAGGCUCAACCGGUACAAAAGGUCCCGAUCAAAACAACGUUACAAUGUGCUACAUUUGUGAAGAUCUUGAACGGAUUGACCUUUGCGACACUGUCAAAGCAUGCCAUGUAAAAGAGGUGUGCUUUGUGGAAAGACAGAACAAAUCAGGACGUAUCGUUUACAGAUCUGGAUGUUUAGUUGCCGAUGUAUGAAUAAAAGCAAAAACUAUACAUUUUUCAAAUAUUUUGUUUGAAUCAGUCUCUUUAUUUGUGUUCUAAACAGACGUAGAUAAAAGAGCUGGGUCUGGAUUUUAAUGAGAUAAUAAUAUAAAAAAUGAAGUCAAGAAAACUAUUUAAAAUACUAAAAUAUAAUCUAGUCUUUAUUUAUACUUUGGAAAAUAAAAGUGAGAUGGUUCAAACUCAUAAGAGGAAUUUAAAAAAAAAAGAAGCAACAAAUACAGCAACAACAACUGGCUGUUCCAUAGCAGUCCUCACUGUGUUGAUAACAUUCUCUGUGUUUUUAUCGUGUCCGGUAUGUUUCCCCUCGUCUGUGUAUAUUCGUGAACAUUUAUGUAUGUACUAAUUCAUUAAUGACAUACACUACAAGUUUAGGCUUUCUUGAAAGUGCUGGUUUUGAAACGUGACGUUUCCUUUUGGAUUGUUUCUUUAUGUUUAAGGUAUGUGCAAGCGGGCACCAAGAGUCACUGUCUCAGGACAACUUCUGUGUUGAAUGCUGCAGUGGCAGCUUCUGUAACAACAAAGGGUGUGGAAGUACAGGGAUCCCAAGCCGUGACCACAGAGGUCCAGUAUGCUACGAUUGUCAACACGUGUCGUCACCUGAACUAUGUACCUCUGUGAUGUUGUGUUCACAGCAUUAGGUA